CGGGGUGCAGCAGGCGCGAAACCUCCGCAAUGCGGGCAACCGCGACGGGGGGACCCCCAGUGCCGUGGCAUAGCCACGGCUUUUCCGGAGUGUAAAAAGCUCCGGGAAUAAGGGCUGGGCAAGGCCGGUGGCAGCCGCCGCGGUAAUACCGGCGGCCCAAGUGGUGGCCGCUAUUAUUGGGCCUAAAGCGUCCGUAGCCGGGCCCGUAAGUCCCUGGCGAAAUCCCACGGCUCAACCGUGGGGCUUGCUGGGGAUACUGCGGGCCUUGGGACCGGGAGAGGCCGGGGGUACCCCUGGGGUAGGGGUGAAAUCCUAUAAUCCCAGGGGGACCGCCAGUGGCGAAGGCGCCCGGCUGGAACGGGUCCGACGGUGAGGGACGAAGGCCAGGGGAGCGAACCGGAUUAGAUACCCGGGUAGUCCUGGCUGUAAAGGAUGCGGGCUAGGUGUCGGGCGAGCUUCGAGCUCGCCCGGUGCCGGAGGGAAGCCGUUAAGCCCGCCGCCUGGGGAGUACGGCCGCAAGGCUGAAACUUAAAGGAAUUGGCGGGGGAGCA
rnacentral:rRNA from 1 species